GUGGGGAAUAUUGGACAAUGGGCGAAAGCCUGAUCCAGCCAUGCCGCGUGUGUGAAGAAGGUCUUCGGAUUGUAAAGCACUUUAAGUUGGGAGGAAGGGCAGUAAGUUAAUACCUUGCUGUUUUGACGUUACCAACAGAAUAAGCACCGGCUAACUUCGUGCCAGCAGCCGCGGUAAUACGAAGGGUGCAAGCGUUAAUCGGAAUUACUGGGCGUAAAGCGCGCGUAGGUGGUUCAGCAAGUUGAAGGUGAAAUCCCCGGGCUCAACCUGGGAACUGCCUCCAAAACUACUGAGGUAGAGUACGGUAGAGGGUAGUGGAAUUUCCUGUGUAGCGGUGAAAUGCGUAGAUAUAGGAAGGAACACCAGUGGCGAAGGCGACUACCUGGACUGAUACUGACACUGAGGUGCGAAAGCGUGGGGAGCAAACAGGAUUAGAAACCCGAGUAGUCC
rnacentral:rRNA from 1 species